rnacentral:rRNA from 1 species
AUUGAACGCUGGCGGCAUGCCUAACACAUGCAAGUCGAACGGCAGCGCGGGUAGCUUGCUACCUGGCGGCGAGUGGCGGACGGGUGAGUAAUAUGUAGGAAUCUACCUAGAGGAGCGGGAUGACUUGGGGAAACUCAAGCUAAUACCACAUAAUCCCCACGGGGGAAAGCAGGGGACCUUCGGGCCUUGCGCCUUAUGAUGAGCCUACAUCGGAUUAGCUUGUUGGUGGGGUAAAGGCCUACCAAGGCGACGAUCCGUAGCUGGUCUGAGAGGAUGAUCAGCCACACUGGAACUGAGACACGGUCCAGACUCCUACGGGAGGCAGCAGUGGGGAAUAUUGGACAAUGGGGGGAACCCUGAUCCAGCAAUGCCGCGUGUGUGAAGAAGGCCUUAGGGUUGUAAAGCACUUUCAGUGGAGAGGAAGUUGCGUGUGCUAAUAUCAUACGUAAUUGACGUUACCCACAGAAGAAGCACCGGCUAACUCUGUGCCAGCCGCCGCAGUAA